AUUGAACGCUGGCGGCAUGCUUUACACAUGCAAGUCGAGCGGUAACAGGGUGCUUGCACCGCUGACGAGUGGCGAACGGGUGAGUAAUGCGUCGGAACGUGCCGAGUAGUGGGGGAUAACGCAGCGAAAGUUGUGCUAAUACCGCAUACGUACUGAGGUAGAAAGUGGGGGACCUUCGGGCCUCACGCUAUUCGAGCGGCCGACGUCUGAUUAGCUAGUAGGUGAGGUAAAGGCUCACCUAGGCGACGAUCAGUAGCGGGUCUGAGAGGAUGAUCCGCCACACUGGGACGGAGACACGGCCCAGACUCCUGCGGGAGGCAGCAGUGGGGAAUUUUGGACAAUGGGCGAAAGCCUGAUCCAGCCAUGCCGCGUGUCUGAAGAAGGCCUUCGGGUUGUAAAGGACUUUUGUCAGGGAGGAAAUCCCUAGUGCUAAUAACACUGGGGGAUGACAGUACCUGAAGAAUAAGCACCGGCUAACUACGUGCCAGCCGCCGCAGUAA
rnacentral:rRNA from 1 species